rnacentral:rRNA from 1 species
GCCCAGACUCCUACGGGAGGCAGCAGUGAGGAAUAUUGGUCAAUGGGCGAGAGCCUGAACCAGCCAAGUCGCGUGAGGGACGACGGCCCUACGGGUUGUAAACCUCUUUUGCCGGGGGACAAACGGCGGCACGCGUGCCGUCCUGAGGGUACCCGGAGAAAAAGCAUCGGCUAACUCCGUGCCAGCAGCCGCGGUAAUACGGAGGAUGCGAGCGUUAUCCGGAUUUACUGGGUGUAAAGGGCGUGUAGGCGGGAAAGCGAGUCAGAUGUGAAAACCAGGGGCGCAACCGGUGGCCUGCAUUUGAAACUGUGUUUCUUGAGUGCUGGAGAGGGAG